rnacentral:lncRNA from 1 species
UACUAAUUAUUAUUAUUGUUAUUUAAGAAAGCAGUAAUCAGGUGAUGUUAUCUCUCACACCUUUAUAAGAAAUGAGAGGUGCAGUUUAAAUAAAUAAACAAACACAGGACUCCAAAUCAUUACGCAAUAAGUCUUAUCCCUGUUUACACCACAGUGCAGACUACCCAUAGCCAUACAUUUCUUGCGUGCCACAAGAGCCUGGGGACAGACAUGGAGUCAAGAAUUGGGGAUUUCUGAAUCAACUCCAUGCAGAAAUGUAGCCUAAGUUAGUGAGAACCAGUACAUGUAGAAAAUUCAAUCUGCUUCUGCAAAGAUGGGAGGAAAUAACACUUGGGAUCCUUGCCUUUGCAUGCCUCUGACAGAGAGCAGCUGAGGUAUUGAUCCCUUGCUUGAGGCUGGGCUAAGAGCAUGUUGUCAUGACUCCAAAUUUCUCCGGUUUUAGAGGGUGAUUUCUUUUAAAUUUUACUCAAAAAAAUUCCCCCACAAAAUGAAGAAUUAUUUACCAGUCAGCAGAAACAGCAACAUUGCUAACAGUGCAGUAGCCUGGCUCCUGAUCCUCAGAGCAGGAAUCCACCGUCAGUGAUGCUGCCUGCAAAAGCCACGCACACAAAUAUGCUGAAUAUUAUUACAAGGCUGCAGCCACCAACCACGUUAACUGAUUAAAUAUAUUAUAUCAAGAACUUGGCAAGAACGGAGCACUUGUGUAUUACUGUCACUCAGGAUUGCAGGGUGCUUCAGAGCCACUGCUCAACCCCAAUCUGCAUCAACACAGUGAACACCAAGAUGUGGAUACUAGCAGAGAGUGAGCUAAUUGACUACUUCAUACAGAAAAUCAGGUAAACACAAGGUUUGCAGAUUUGGGUAGGGUUUCUUUUAUGUUUGUUUGCUUUCCUCCUUGAAAUGGCAUUAUUUUGGCUUGUACUGUAUCCUACUCUUGAUCUGAACAGAGAGCUGCUCCCUCCAAACACCAAGGGCAUCCCUUCAGGGGCUUGACCAUGGCAUUAAACACAUUGCUUUAACUUGAUAAAAAGCACAUUACAAAAGCUGGGAGUACAAACACUGAGAUUACUAGUUAAAAAUAAUAACCAACCACUCAAUAAUA